GUUUGAUACAAAAGUGUUUGAAACUCAAACGCUUUUCCACUUGCGUUUGAUAAGUCAAACAUUAUUUCUGCUUAAAUGUGUAUAAUUCAAACACUUAAUUACGAUGAAGCCAUUUUUAGAGUGUAUAGGAUAUUUUAGGAAUAUUGUGGGAAAUAUUAUAAGAAAUAAGAUAUUAUAAGAAUAUUCAUUGAAAUAUCAUUAGAAUAUUCUGAGUACUUACCAAAUAACAUACCAAUAACAUUUAAAACAUUCGUGGAACUAUUUAUGAAUAUUCUUUUCGAAUAUUCUUAGAAUAUAUGGAAAUCAUGUUGUUAGAAUAUUCUCCGAAUAUUUUGUGCUGUAUGAGGAACAAUUCGAAAGAUAGCCGAGAGAUGUGCAAUUCGAUGUGCCUACACGCGCUUGGAGACGCGCACAAACGAUGCAGUGGCGGGUUAAUCUACAAGAAACGUAUCACGUAACCGCCUCUUAUUGCAAGAGAGAAGGAGGAGAAGGGAAUGGAGGAGGCGGGCCGCAGAGGCAACAGGGAUGUAAAUACGUACCAGGAGCAGAAGGGAUGUAAAUACGUACGGACGUUUUGAAACGCCGGUGGCUCCCACGAGACGAGGCCUGAAUGGUCGAACGAGCGCGCUUCCGCUUUCAGCACGAAAAUGGCGCCAGAGGUGGCCGCCAUUAGCCAGAGGAGGAGGAGGAGGAGGUAUUAAACUCGGCUUGUUGCUUAACGACGACGACGACAACGACGGCGACGAGCAAAACGGAGCCGAUAAUCGUUCCCGCGACAUGAGAGAGCCAGCAAAUGCGGUUCUUCUGGAUCAACGGGGAUUUUAGCGUGUUAAUUAUUUCAAUUCCGCACUGCCUCGUCGUUGCGCUUUCGACUUUCGACAAUCGAACUCACCGUUGUUAUUAUUAUUCCUGCAUUCGCGUGCAUUGAAAUUGGGAUGUUGAAUGACACGAUUUCAUGGAGAGAUUAAAUCGAAUGAAAGAUGAGAGUUAUUGUUACACAUAUAUUUCACCGAUCUCUGCAUUCUUUUUUUUCAAUUGCUUUUUGCCGCAACGUAUAUGUAUACACGUAUGCACGGUUUAUUAUUUCCUGACACUAAAACAUUACAAUUACCGAAAUGAAUGGCGGAAAAAGAAUGGUCAAUCGUAACAAAAACUUCAAUAACGAAAUCUUAUAUUUAAAAACAGAAUAGCACAAUUCCGCCCGUUCGAAAAACCAAUUAAAAAAACCGUUAUUACUUUAGCUUCCAUUUCCUGUAUAUGCAAUUAUGUUUUUAAGAAAAACAAUCCUUCUAUACGCGAUCAAUAAUAUAUAUAUAUAAAAAAAUACCAUUGAUAUUUUACAUAUCUGUCAUCAUACUUUAUUUGUAUGUGAGUCAAUAUAGUGUAUAAAAAUCCAUAAUAUCACGUUCCGAUAAAGCAACGCAACGCAACGCUAUUUUAUUCUAUUUUAUAAACGUUAUUUAAUCAAUGUAACCACAUCCAAUUUCUGACGCACAAGUUUAUGUAACGAUCACACAUAUAUAGGGUAAGGUUGCCACCAUUGGACCGUUGCUUUCAUUGAACCACUAAGGUAUUUCGAAAACUAAAACGAUUGUCGGCAAAAGAAAGAGAUAGAACGCACGUGCACGCGUCCCCCCGCUAUCCUCCUCACGCUCAGUUCCAUUGCGGCCGCUACUGCAGAGUGACACGCGGCAGUAGGGUUUAAGUACAAAAAAAAAUAAAACGUUUGAAAUAACCAUUCAGGUAUAUCUACUAAUCGUGAUUUUGUCUUAUUUUUAAUAUUCCCUCAUGAAAGUAUAUUGAUUUGAGGUGUUAUUACAUCGUUUAGUUAAAUAUUCAGAUCUAACUUCAAAAUAAAAAAUCGUUAUCGUAAAAUUUAUACCUAAUUGCUAAUGAUUGAACCACCUAGUGGUUACUAUGAUUGGACCAAUCCAAUGAAGGCUACUAAGUGACUUUGUUUUUUAUUCUUUAUUUAGAAUGGCACAGUUGUCUCAAAAUGAAAUAGAGUCACAUCGAGUACGAAAAGAGCGUAGUAAGUACUACACAUGGAACGAAAUUAGUAUGAAGCUUGCCAUAGAAGCUUUGCGGAAAAAAGAGAUCGGUUUAAAUGCAGCCAGCAGAAUAUAUUCUGUACCGAAAACAACACUAAGACGACGAUUACUAGAGUGUGCUUGUGUGAGCAAAGGUAAAAAAAGAUACUUUUGCCCAGCCUGCAAAAAGUAAUAUAAAGUUACAUAAUUCUACCUUUCAUUGUCGUUUUAAAAUUGACAAAGAUUUAUUUGUGUUAUGUUUAAAAAGAUUUAUGUUUAAAAAGAAUGAUAUUGUUUUUGUUAGUUUGAAUUUUUAAAUUACGUAUAUUAAUAUAAUAACUAUCAGUUGUUGAUUGAUUUUGAUUGAAGUUGUUCCUUUGUAACAGUUGAUCUCUUAAAAUAUCUCUUUUUUCUAUAAUUGUAGCGUAAUAUUUUAUAAACAAUGUAGGUUAGAAACGUACUUCUAAGGUAUUUGUGACUGAUUAAUAAAUAUCUAUACUAGAUUAUUUUGAUAUUUUUUUUGCCUUAGUUUCUUUUAUUGGACCGAUGGUCCAAUGAAUGAAACCAAGUGGACCAAAGAAGGUGCCAAAGGUCCAAUCAUGGAAACUUUUAAUCUUUUUAUAUUUUUUAUUUUCUUUUUUAAAUGUUGAUUGAUAGAUGCUGAGACUUGUUGAUUUUAAAGCUUAACAAAUGUCACUUCAAAUCACAUUCUUAGUUUCACUUUAUUACUUAUAAUUUCAAAUUAGUAGACCUUCAAAUAAAGGGGUUCCAAUGGUGGCAA